rnacentral:ncRNA from 1 species
CCAUAGGCGGCAUUAGCCGCCAUUCCACAAACAAACAAAUUUGGAU